AAAGCAGGACGCAAUUACAGUGCUUCAUUUUGUGGAAGUACUGCCAUUAUCCUGCUGAGAGUAACAGCCUGCUUUAGAGACCCAACUUAUCAUUCUUGUCUGAUACGAGGGCUCUUCAGCAGAGACAGCA
ensembl:snoRNA Small nucleolar RNA SNORA69